rnacentral:lncRNA from 1 species
AUUUCGAAAUUCCCUAUGCAUGAAGGGUUGUUUCAUGCACUAGUAUUUAUUUUGGUGUUUAGGACUUAGAAAGGACUUUUAGAAAACUGAGGAUAUUGGCAGAAGCUCUCUUGGAGUGCUCUUUUGAACUCUGUAUCUCUUGGAUGCGUCCUUGAGUGGUGAGUCUUUCGCUUUCAGUUCUGUAUCCUUGUUUAUUAUCAUUAGGGUGGUGAUCUUCUGUAUCC